CCUACGGGUGGCAGCAGUGGGGAAUAUUGGACAAUGGGGGGAACCCUGAUCCAGCCAUGCCGCGUGUGUGAAGAAGGCCCUCGGGUUGUAAAGCACUUUCAGUGAGGAAGAACGCCUGGUGGUUAAUACCCAUCAGGAAAGACAUCACUCACAGAAGAAGCACCGGCUAACUCUGUGCCAGCAGCCGCGGUAAUACGGAGGGUGCGAGCGUUAAUCGGAAUUACUGGGCGUAAAGCGCGCGUAGGUGGCUUGAUAAGCCGGUUGUGAAAGCCCCGGGCUCAACCUGGGAACGGCAUCCGGAACUGUCAAGCUAGAGUGCAGGAGAGGAAGGUAGAAUUCCCGGUGUAGCGGUGAAAUGCGUAGAGAUCGGGAGGAAUACCAGUGGCGAAGGCGGCCUUCUGGACUGACACUGACACUGAGGUGCGAAAGCGUGGGUAGCAAACAGGAUUAGAUACCCUGGUAGUC
rnacentral:rRNA from 1 species